UGAUGACGAGACGCUAAGGCGUUGAAGCAGUGUAUGUCAGACUUCCAAGAAAAGCUCGCAAUGUCACAAAUAAAAAUGCCUGUACCAUAACCGACACAGGUGGGUAGGUAGAGUAUACUAAGGGGCGCGAGAUAACUCUCUCUAAGGAACUCGGCAAAAUGACUCCGUAACUUCGGGAGAAGGAGUGCCUUAUUUAUAAGGUUGCAAUAACAAGAUCCAAGCAACUGUUUAUCAAAAACACAGGUCUCCGCUAAGUCGUAGGACGAUGUAUGGGGGCUGACGCCUGCCCAGUGCCAGAAGGUUAAAGAAGUUGGUUAGUGUAUGCGAAGCUGAUGACUGAAGCCCUGGUGAACGGCGGCCGUAACUAUAACGGUCCUAAGGUAGCGAAAUUCCUUGUCGGGUAAGUUCCGACCCGCACGAAAGGCGUAAUGAUUUGGAUACUGUCUCGGAGAGAGGCUCGGUGAAAUAGACUUGUCUGUGAAGAUGCGGACUACCUGCACCAGGACAGAAAGACCCUAUGAAGCUUUACUGUAACUUGAAAUUGGAAUUGGACUUUGCUUGCGCAGUAUAGGUGGGAAGCGUUGAAAAUAUUCUUGCGGGAGUAUUGGAGCUAUCAGUGAGAUACCACUCUUGUAAUGUUAGAUUUCUAACUUUGAACCAUAAUCUGGUCAAAGAAUAGUUUCAGGUGGGCAGUUUGACUGGGGCGGUCGCCUCCCAAAUGGUAACGGAGGCGUACAAAGGUUUCCUCUGAACGGAUAGAAAUCGUAUCUAGAGUGUAAAGGCAUAAGGAAGCUUGACUGUGAGACCUACAAGUCGAGCAGGGACGAAAGUCGGUCUUAGUGAUCUGACGGUACUGAGUGGAAAGGCCGUCACUCAACGGAUAAAAGUUACUCUAGGAUAACAGGCUGAUCUCCCCCAAGAGUUCACAUCGACGGGGAGGUUUGGCACCUCGAUGUCGGCUCAUCGCAUCCUGGGGCGGUAGUACGUCCCAAGGGUUGGGCUGUUCGCCCAUGAAAGCGGUACGCGUGCUGGGUUCAGAACGUCGUGAGACAGUUCGGUCCAUAUCCGGUGUAGGCGCUAGAAUAUUGAGAGGAGCCUUCUUUAGUACGAGAGGACCGAGAAGGACACACCGCUGGUGUACCAGUUAUCGUGCCAACGGUAAACGCUGGGUAGCUAUGUGUGGAGUGGAUAACCGCUGAAAGCAUCUAAGUGGGAAGCCCACCUCGAGAU
rnacentral:rRNA from 1 species